rnacentral:rRNA from 1 species
AUGAACGCUGGCGGCGUGCCUAAUACCUGCAAGUCGAGCGAACGGACGAGAAGCUUGCUUCUCUGAUGUUAGCGGCGGACGGGUGAGUAACACGUGGAUAACCUACCUAUAAGACUGGGAUAACUUCGGGAAACCGGAGCUAAUACCGGAUAAUAUUUUGAACCGCAUGGUUCAAAAGUGAAAGACGGUCUUGCUGUCACUUAUUGAUGGAUCCGCGCUGCAUUAGCUAGUUGGUAAGGUAACGGCUUACCAAGGCAACGAUGCAUAGCCGACCUGAGAGGGUGAUCGGCCACACUGGAACUGAGACACGGUCCAGACUCCUACGGGAGGCAGCAGUAGGGAAUCUUCCGCAAUGGGCGAAAGCCUGACGGAGCAACGCCGCGUGAGUGAUGAAGGUCUUCGGAUCGUAAAACUCUGUUAUUAGGGAAGAACAUAUGUGUAAGUAACUGUGCACAUCUUGACGGUACCUAAUCAGAAAGCCACGGCUAACUACGUG